rnacentral:rRNA from 1 species
UACGUAGGUGGCAAGCGUUGUCCGGAUUUAUUGGGUUUAAAGGGUGCGUAGGUGGUCUAUUAAGUCAGUGCUGAAAUAUCCCGGCUUAACCGGGAGGGUGGCAUUGAUACUGAUGGACUUGAGUAAAGUUGAGGUGGGCGGAAUUGACGGUGUAGCGGUGAAAUGCUUAGAUAUCGUCAAGAACACCUAUUGCGAAGGCAACUCACUAAGCUUUAACUGACACUGAGGCACGAAAGUGUGGGGAUCAAACAGG